GUCUGGAUAGCUCAGUUGGUUAGAGUGUGGUGUUGAUAACACCAAGGUUGCAGGUUUGAUCCCAAAACGGGACA